rnacentral:lncRNA from 1 species
AUCGGGAUUAAGUGGUACUUGCUAAGCAAGCAGUGUGAUGUACUUUACAUAUGCUAUCCCUUUUUAAAGGCAUGUCAAAGCUCCAGGGACGCAGCAGAGAGCAGAAGGGUAGGGUGGAGAACACUGCCUUUUUGCAGUGGUAUUGGCCUCGGUUUGUGUCCAUCUCUCCCCUUCCUCAGGCCUCCAUUACUUUCCACUGAGAAUCUUCAUUCACAGACGACCGAGUUUUGAAAUCAGUGGAAUUCGAGUACGAUAGCUAAGGAGAUGGAGAAAACACCGGUCUGGAUUACAUUGUCAAACUAAGGCAACCAUGCAUGGCAUCAGACAGGAGACGCAUCUAACCACGAUGUAUACUGGUCCCACAUCUAGCCAUCACUCUGGUUGUAAUUCUGAUGGUGUCCACAAGAUGACAGCAGUGUAUGUGCAAAGUUUCAGACGGAUAACUUGAAGUAUGAAGUGAAGUCACCCAGGUACAUUUGGGUAAAUCAUGAAGGAGACAUUUACAUUCACGUUACAUUUUUCUGCAAGAAUAUUGUAAAAUCCGUAUACUUGGACUUUGAUUUUCCAGUAUUAGUAGGCAUAUUAUAAGUUCAACAUUUGCAAAACACCCACUUUUCAUAACUCUCCAUAUUCUUAUCAUUUUUGUCUAAAAGGAAAGGCUUUUCCUAAAGGAAAAAGUUAGCAGCUACAUUUUGCAACAAAUACAGGGUUUCCCGAUACUCCCGUAAAGCCCAGCUCAUUGGCUAUCUAGCUAGUUUAUUUGACAAAGUUACAGUAGAUCAAGUGAAGACCGCACGCGUCAUCGGUGCCAUGUAGGCGUUGCUCUCUGACCAAAUUUGGUGUCCUAUAGGAUAUACUACACCCCUAAUGACAUAGUUAUGUUCUAGGAUCUCUGAAG